GUACCAGCUAAGUCCCGUGCCAGCAGCUGCGGUUAUACGGGGGGUGCAAACGUUAAUCAUAAAAUUUGGUCUAAAACGUAAGUAGGUUGUUUUUAUUAUCUCUAUUAGAGUUUAUAAAACUAGAAUUAUAUAGGAGCUAAUAGUACUAUUAGAGUAAAGCUCAUAUUUGGAUACUAAUAGGACUAUUAAUGGUGAAGACAGUUAGCUAUAUAUAAUUGACACUGAGGUACCAAAGCUAAGGUAGCGAAUCGGAUUAGAUACCCGAGUAGUCUUAGCCCGUAACUAUGAAUACUAUUUAUAUUUUAUAAUAUAAAAAAGCGAAGGCGUUAAGUAUUCUACCUGGAGAGUAUAUUCGCAAGGAUUAAACCCAAGACAUUAGGCAGUUGCAGGCCUUAGCAGUUAAGCAU
rnacentral:rRNA from 1 species